AAGAGUCACACAACCUUCAGUCACUGAUCACAUCCCAGUUUGCUGAACUGCACCAGAUUCUCACUGAGAAAGAGCAGCGGUUACUCGGAGAUGUCCGAGAAGAAGAGGCGAAGAUUGUAAAAACAAUGGAGAAAAAUCUUCAAGAGAUUCAAGAGAAUUUAAAUUCCAUUCAGGAGGACCUAUCAAAAUUACAGGGACAGAUAGACCACAAGGACGGUGUGAUAUUUCUGAAGGAGGAAGCUGGUCGCAAGAGGAGGGUUAUUGAUGAAACCAAACCAAUGUUGGUGGCAGAUAGCGC